CGGGUAGAGUAAUGCGUGACCAACCUGCCCCAUGCUCCAGAAUAGCUCUUGGAAACGGGUGGUAAUGCUGGAUGCUCCAACUUGACGCAUGUCUUGUUGGGAAAGUGUUUAGUGGCAUGGGAUGGGGUCGCGUCCUAUCAGCUUGUAGGCGGGGUAAUGGCCCACCUAGGCUUCGACGGGUAGCCGGCCUGAGAGGGCGGACGGCCACAUUGGGCUGAGAUACGGCCCAGACUCCUACGGGAGGCAGCAGC
rnacentral:rRNA from 1 species